UUGCUAUCUGCGAUAUGGAAGAUUCGAACCUGCUGCAGGUUCGGGUCUCACGCAGUGAGACAACGGAGCCGUUUACGGCGACGGCCCGAAGGGCGAGCAAAGCGAGUCAUCCUGCACGACCCACCA
rnacentral:sRNA from 1 species